rnacentral:tRNA from 1 species
CAAAUUAGAGCUUGUUUAAGUAUUUCAUUUACAUUGAAAAGAUAUUAUUUGUAAUAAUAAUUAAUUUGA